CUUGAACUCCUGGGCUCAAGCUAUCCUCCCGCCUCUGCCUCCCUGAGAGCUGGGAUUACAGGCGUGAGCCACCGCGCCCGGCCUAGGUGCAAGUAUUUUAUUCGAGAGGAUGUUGAAAGGAGCACUGUGAAGGAGUGGUGAAGAGAGGCAGAGAAGAGAGGAAAGCCAAUAAAAGGCAAUGAGAAGAUCUCACCAGCUCCGGAAUGUGCUGUGGGAAGAGGAGGCACGGGAGGAUGCAGAAACGGGGGAGUUUGCUUGACCAGUGAGAUGAAGACAUAGGGAAGAGAACUCAUGGCAUGGAAAAGACCACUACUGAGACACUGCACCUCCACACUGAGCUGUGAUAAGGAAGCACAAGAGGAAGAAGAGGGUGAUGGGCUGGAAGAAAAUAGAGGGCCAGUGGCCGGAGGGGCCCGUGUCGUCGGAGAGCACAAGCAGAGGGAUUCGUGCAGUCGGUGAGUGGGACGAGGAGAGGCUGUGGGCAGCUGGUGAGGUGUGGGAGUUACGGUUUUAGAGCUGGGGUGGUUCUGGCUGUCAGCAGGGUCCACAGUGAUGCUGUGGGAGGUGACUGAUGACCAAUGAGAGAAUGAGUGAAUCGAUUUGUGUGCUCACCGGAGCCAUUUUCUUUCUCCAGUUAGCCCAACAGCCUGUCUGUUUCUCAUCCUUUGGUUUACAACAACUUUGCCCCCAACUCCGUGACUUCCUCAGUCUUCUUGUUUUUUUGGGACAGGGUCUCAGCUGGAG